rnacentral:rRNA from 1 species
UACAGAGGUCCCAAGCGUUGUUCGGAUUCAUUGGGCGUAAAGGGUGCGUAGGCGGUGCGGUAAGUCGGGUGUGAAAUCUCGGGGCUUAACUCCGAAACUGCAUUCGAUACUGCCGUGCUUGAGGACUGGAGAGGAGACUGGAAUUUACGGUGUAGCGGUGAAAUGCGUAGAUAUCGUAAGGAAGACCAGUGGCGAAGGCGGGUCUCUGGACAGUUCCUGACGCUGAGGCACGAAGGCCAGGGGAGCAAACGGG